CCUACGGGGGGCAGCAGUGAGGAAUAUUGGUCAAUGGCCGCAGGGCUGAACCAGCCAAGUCGCGUGAGGGAUGACGGCCCUAUGGAUUGUAAACCUCUUUUGUCAGGGAGCAAAGGGUGCCACGUGUGGCGUUUUGCGAGUACCUGACGAACAAGCAUCGGCUAACUCCGUGCCAGCAGCCGCGGUAAUACGGAGGAUGCGAGCGUUAUCCGGAUUUAUUGGGUUUAAAGGGUGCGCAGGCGGAGUGUGAAGUCAGUGGUAAAAUUUCGGGGCUCAACCCGGACGUGCCGUUGAAACUGGCGUGCUAGAGUGAGCGAGAAGUGUGCGGAAUGCGAGGUGGAGCGGUGAAAUGCGUAGAGAUCACGCAGAACUCCGAUUGCGAAGGCAGCAUACCGGCGCUCAACUGACGCUCAUGUGCGAAAGCGUGGGUAUCGAACAGGAUUAGAUACCCGAGUAGUC
rnacentral:rRNA from 1 species